rnacentral:rRNA from 1 species
UACGUAGGGAGCUAGCGUUGUUCGGAAUUACUGGGCGUAAAGCGCGCGUAGGCGGUCCAUCAAGUCAGAGGUGAAAGCCCGGGGCUCAACCCCGGAACUGCCUUUGAAACUGGCGGACUAGAAUCUUGGAGAGGCGAGUGGAAUUCCGAGUGUAGAGGUGAAAUUCGUAGAUAUUCGGAAGAACACCAGUGGCGAAGGCGACUCGCUGGACAAGUAUUGACGCUGAGGUGCGAAAGCGUGGGGAGCAAACAGG